rnacentral:piRNA from 1 species
UUAGUUGGUUUUUGUUUUGUU